CCCUUAGAUGUUCUGGGCCGCACGCGCGCUACACUGUUCGACGCAGCGAGUCUUAACCUUGACCGAAAGGUUUGGGUAAUCUUCAGCAAAGUCGAACGUGAUGGGGAUCGAUCAUUGCAAUUAUUGAUCGUGAACGAGGAAUUCCUAGUAAGUGCAAGUCAUCAGCUUGCGCUGAUUACGUCCCUGCCCUUUGUACACAGCGCCCGUCGCACCUACCGAUUGAAUGGUCCGGUGAAAUCUUCGGAUUGAGACUUUGAUUUCUUCACGGAAAACGCUGUUUUAAAAAGUUGAUUAAACCUUACCAUUUAGAGGAAGGUGAAGUCGUAACA
rnacentral:rRNA from 1 species